rnacentral:sRNA from 1 species
UGACCUUCACCGGGGGGAGGCCGCUAC